ACCUGCCCGAUAUUGGCUAGGGGCUCCCCUUAUUACUGUCGUUUCCCAACACUGGCUCGAUCAGCUGAUUCGUAGCGGUGUGAAAACGAGGAAGAUUUGCUGGUAGCAAAAAGUGAAAAGUUUUGAGGGAAAGUGGAUAAAAUUUCUCACCCACACCAACGCAGGAGCCGAAGAAGAGAGGCGGGAAAAAAAAUAAGGAGAGAGGCAACUCCCCUCCCUCGCCACAGCCUUCACCAGUAGACCAGCCGGCCUUGGCCAAAAAAUUACGGCCGGUCCAGCGACGAUGGCAACCACAGCUGUUCCGCGGAUGUGAUACUCCGAAAAACCCCGAGAACCAAAAAUGUUUAAUUACAAAGCUUUUGCGCCCAACCAAAGAAAUGAAGCAAAGCAAAGCAAAAACGUUGAGACCCUCGACGACCACGACGACGAUGUCUCGCAUAUUGACCCAGCCAAGUGGAACGUGUCGAGUACGGUUAGUUAACCGAAAAAGCAUUGGUAAAGUUACCGCUUAACCCUUUUGACGUCCCUGACAGCAACAAAACGAAAAAAAGUGAAAAAAAAUGGGAGAAAAGCUGAGAUACGAAACGUCAUUAGCAUUCAGACUGUUACUUCUCCUACCUCUCCACCCAUGCGAUGUACAUGGGAUAGAAGAAGAGGUAAGUGGGAGAAACGGAAAAGAACAGGAAGUUGGUGGAAACUGGAAACCUAAAGACGACGAAAGUUUCAAGCCGAAUGCACAAAAUGGAAAACACAUCGAAAUAUUUCCACCAAAAUAAAAUGAAAUGAAAUCUGCAACGACUGUGACGCAUUUAGCUGUCAGUUUGUCUUAGGACUGACAAGCAGAAGUAUCCUUGGCUCGUUGCCGCCACAUCGUGUUGCUGCUAUCUACUGCUUUUGCUGAUGGGCUUCAAUAAAAAGAGGAAAAGGAAGCAAAGCCAAAACGUAACACGGCAAAACGCAGCGCGCGUAAAAUAAACAAAUUUCCGCAGACGACACUCAACUAUGCAAACAGUAAUUGGAGCAGCUUUUAAGCCGAGGACAAGGGAAACUGGUGCAAAGGAUGUUACCGCCAAGUAAACGAAGGUAAACCGUAGCUAAAACCAAAAACUGAAUUUCCACUCCUUCAACCUGGCCUCCUUAUAUAGCCCUAUCCAUAGCUGAAAGCUAACGAAGGUGUGCGCGAAACGCUCUAGGAUUUGCAGGAUUCACAGGAUUCGCGAGAUUCAUGUAUAACAAGACAGAAACAACACACACACAUAAAAAAAAAAAACCAAAAUGAAUAUAAACCCGACAAAAAAAUGUUUCUGCAAAUGCAAUAUUGUAAUGCUGUAAUGUGUGGGGAUAAAUGUAUGCAUAUCUCUCACACAGGAAGCUAGAGCAAAAGACAAAAAGAGAUAGAGAGAGAAAGACAGAGAAGGAGGUGGGCAUGUGGUGACUUUGUAUUGUGGGUGGAUGCCAGGAAGUCGCCACUUUUCGUGUAUGCGGAAAAUUAAAGAAAACAAAACACCGAACGAAAUCACAAACGGAAAGCGUUAAAAUACAACAUCAUACCAAAUAAUAAUGUGAGAGUAAAACGGAUGAAUAUACCAAAGGACCCAGACUGGCAUGAAGGGGAAUGGAAAUAUGAUUCUACUUGCUGACACUCUCUCUGUCUCUCCCUCCCUCUCUCUCUCUCUCUCUCUCUCUUUCUCUCUCUAUGUUGGAAAAGUAACAUGGAUCCGGUUACAUAGCAUAAAUGUUGUAAUGCCUCAAGAACUCACACAUAGCAAAUAAGCCAGAUGACACGAUUAGAUAAUUGGCAUAUUAAAUGUUUCCAUAUUUAACUGUUAUUAUCUUGAAUCUCAAAUAAAAUUAAACUUGGAGAUAAUUAUGUUUAGUCAUUAGCAAUAUUCCAAGUAUGUAAAGUCUUUAUGUAAACUUAAA